CGAUUAGAUCACUUUGAAACACCGGAUCCAGCACGAUCGCCAAAGUUAAGCAACAUCGAGCACCAUCAGUACCUAGAUGGGUGACCGCUUGGGAAUACCA